rnacentral:rRNA from 2 species
UUGACCUCGGAUCAGGUAGGGUUACCCGCUGAACUUAAGCAUAUCAAUA